rnacentral:rRNA from 1 species
UACGUAGGGGGCAAGCGUUGUCCGGAUUCACUGGGCGUAAAGAGCGCGCAGGCGGUCGUUCAAGUCGCGUGUGAAAGCCCCCGGCUCAACUGGGGAGGGUCACGCGAUACUGAUCGACUCGAAGGCAGGAGAGGGUAGUGGAAUUCCCGGUGUAGUGGUGAAAUGCGUAGAUAUCGGGAGGAACACCAGUGGCGAAGGCGACUACCUGGCCUGUUCUUGACGCUGAGGCGCGAAAGCUAGGGGAGCAAACGGG